rnacentral:lncRNA from 1 species
GUCUGCGUGCAGAGCAAGAGCUGGAGGAGCUUAACCCCUUGCAAGCCCUCCGCAGUCAGCGCUGCCCAGGAAAGGACUCAGGGAACAAACUCCUGACGUCCUGGGCUUGGGAUCAUCUCAGCCCAGGCCCUGCAGCUCUGACUCUGCCAAUGUGCAACCUGAAUCUCAGGGAGACCGUGGUGAUUCCUGCCAUCUCAACCCACCGUCCUCACCCCGAGGUGGUCCUGCAGCCAGAGUGGGAUGUUCGGGGCAGCAUGGAGGUGUGAACCUGGCGGAUCAGGCAACCUCCAGAUGUCAGCUCCAGCGUGCCCUCCUUGGGGACUCCCCAUUUGGAACUAUAUUUCAUAUGUGAUUAUUUGAUUAACAUCUGUCUCUUCACUCAGUUGGGAGCUCUGUGAGGCUCUCAUCAUCAUAUCCCCAGGACCCAGCACACAGGCCCUGAUAUACAAUAGAAAUACAAUAAAUAUAUCCUGGAUGAUCCACUCAACCUAGCUACUUGCCCAAGCCUGACUCAUAGCCCUCAUAACAACCCAAUGAGGCUGAUGUGACAACCCCAUUUCACAGUUGGGUAAACAGAGGCCCCUAGAGCCCAAGCAGCUUGCCCAAGGUCACAAAGGUGAUGAGCUGCAGUAGAGUUUCAAACACACAAAGACCUGGCUUCUAAUAACCAAGCUUGGUGCUCACAACAUUGCAGCCCGCAGAGAUAAUUAAUACCUGUGCACAAUAAAAUCGAGAGUGGAGCUUCUUACCAACUAAUUGCAAUUCACAAAGCCAAUGUUCCAAUUUUAUAGUGAGGCCCUGGUUCCACACAGAGCCUUUUGGUUUCCCAAAAUGCUUUCUUCUCCUUUAUAGCACUAGAUGCUCAAGAACAGAACGUUUAAGUGGGGAGAACACGAGUAUUAUUCCAUUGUAUAGGUGAGGACACUGAGGCCCAGAGAAGAGAAGAGAAGAGAUUCGUUCCUGGUCACCCAGAAAAGAAACAACAACAAAAACCUCUGACUCCUGGCCAGGUGCAGUGGCUCACGCCUGUAAUCCCAGCACUUUGGGAGGCUGAGGUGGGCGGAUCACCUGAGGUCAGGAGUUCGACACCAGCCUGGGCAACAUGAUGAAACCCCACCUCUACUAAAAAUACAAAAAUUAGCCAGGUGUGGUGGCAGGUGCCUGUAAUCCUCCCUGUAAUACUUGGGAGGCUGAGGCAGGACAAUCACUUGAACCUGGGAGGCGGAGGUUGCAGUGAGUCGAGAUUGCACCAUUGCACUCCAGCCUGGGCAACAGAGCAAGACUCUGUCUCAAAAAAAAAAAAAAAAAAAAACACCAAAAACAAAAACAACAAAAAAAACCUCUUACUCCUACUGCCAGGGCUUGAUGACUUUCACCCUUUUACCAGCAACAGUCAUGUGCAUGGCUGUGUCUGCAGAACCCUGCCAGCCCUUCCCACGAGCCUGAGGCACAAGAAUCACUUGAACCUGGGAGGCGGAGGUUGCAGUGAACCGAGAUCAUGUCACUGCGCUCCAGCCUGGGCAACAGAGUAAGACGCUUGUCAAAAAAAAAAAAAAAAAAAUCCACAGGGAGUCUGAGGGAAAGAGGAGGCAGGUGAGGAUUUCCAGAGUGAACCAAGAAGAAAUGAUGAAGCCUGGCUAGGGAAGUAGAGAACCAAGUUCCAGCCUGAGUGACCAGGAAUAAGCACCUUCCUUUCUCUGAGCUUUGGAACCUGCGGCUUAAUGAGAUUGUCUCUGAGGUUAUCAGAGAUUAUCUUCUAAUGCUAAACCUCCUGGAUUCUUUAUUCCAUUUGCCCACCCAGGCAGAAAUGCCAUGCAGACAGGAGGCUGCAGAGCACAGGUGUUAAGGCACAUGGGCUUUGUGGGCAAACAGAGAACUCCAUGUUCUCCCUUGGAAGCUGUGUGGCCUUGGGCAAGCUGCUUAACCUCUCUGAAUCCCAGAUUCCACAUCUGUAACAUGGACCAAUAAUUAUUUUACUGGGUUCUUGGGAUGACGGAUGAGACUAUGUGCCAAAAGUUCUUGGCCCCAGUGCCCAGCUGGCACAGAAUGACUGUUCACAAAUAAAUGGCCUUGCCUUUUCCGUGAAACGCCCUACAACCUGCUCCCUGCAGGACUGAGUUUAAUUUUCCUCAUCCACAGCUUCCACAAUAUCAACCCCAGGUCUAGCGAUGAGUCCUGGACACAAAAAGGGAGAAGCAGUUUUCCCAAGUGGAGGGAGGUGCUGACAUUUCCCUGUGACCCUCUUCCCUGCGACCCUUAAACCAGUUCCAGGGCUCACUGACCCAGCUAGAAACUCUGUCCUCACUCUGAGUAGUUAAGGAGCAGAACAAACAGCCCCUUCUCAGCCAACUGAGAUAAGGGUUAUGAGGAGGGUGUGGCCAUAUUGAGGAAAACACAUACAUAAAUUCAAAUUCAUGCUCUUUUCAAAGAGUCAAACAAACCGUGCACGUGCCAGGAAGGGACUGCUAACAGCAAAACUAUACUGAACACCUAUUAUGUGUCAAAUACCUUAUAAAAGCCUUUCCAUGGACUCAGAUCUCAUUAUUUAAUCCUCAUACUAAUCCAAGGAGGGAAAAAUUAUGAUGCCCAUUUUAUUUUAUAGGUGAGGAAGCUGGUUUGAACCAAGCUGUUUGAAUCUGGAC